rnacentral:rRNA from 1 species
AGAGUUUGAUCCUGGCUCAGGAUGAACGCUAGCUACAGGCUUAACACAUGCAAGUCGAGGGGAAACGAUAUUGGAAGCUUGCUUCCGAUAGGCGUCGACCGGCGCACGGGUGAGUAACGCGUAUCCAACCUGCCCGCCACUUGGGGGAUAACCUUGCGAAAGUAAGACUAAUACCCAAUGAUAUCUCUAGAAGACAUCUGAAAGAGAUUAAAGAUUUAUCGGUGAUGGAUGGGGAUGCGUCUGAUUAGCUUGUUGGCGGGGUAACGGCCCACCAAGGCAACGAUCAGUAGGGGUUCUGAGAGGAAGGUCCCCCACAUUGGAACUGAGACACGGUCCAAACUCCUACGGGAGGAGCA